UACGUAGGGUGCGAGCGUUUGUCCGGAUUUAUUGGGGCGUAAAGGGCUCGUAGGCGGCGUGUCGCGUCGGGGAGUGAAAGCCCGCUGCUUAACGGCGGGUUGGCUCCGGUACGGGCAUCGCUGGAGUGCGGCAGGGGAGACUGGAAUUCCUGGUGUAGCGGUGGAAUGCGCAGAUAUCAGGAGGAACACCGGUGGCGAAGGCGGGUCUCUGGGCCGUUACUGACGCUGGAGGAGCGAAAGCGUGGGGAGCGAACAGGG
rnacentral:rRNA from 1 species